UGGGGGAUAUUGCACAAUGGGGGAAACCCUGAUGCAGCGACGCCGCGUGGAGGAAGAAGGUUUUCGGAUUGUAAACUCCUGUCGUUAGGGACGAAAUCUGACGGUACCUAACAAGAAAGCACCGGCUAACUACGUGCCAGCAGCCGCGGUAAAACGUAGGGUGCAAGCGUUGUCCGGAAUUACUGGGUGUAAAGGGAGCGCAGGCGGACCGGCAAGUUGGAAGUGAAAACCAUGGGCUCAACCCAUGAAUUGCUUUCAAAACUGCUGGCCUUGAGUAGUGCAGAGGUAGGUGGAAUUCCCGGUGUAGCGGUGGAAUGCGUAGAUAUCGGGAGGAACACCAGUGGCGAAGGCGACCUACUGGGCACCAACUGACGCUGAGGCUCGAAAGCAUGGGUAGCAAACA
rnacentral:rRNA from 1 species